UUAAGGGCCCACCCCACGCCAGUGUGAAUUCAUCUUAAUUUAAUUAGUUACAGCUUCAGUGACCCUUCCAAAUAAGAUCACAUCUUGAGGUUCCAGGGGGAACACGAAUUCGAGGCGAGGGAAAGACUAACCCAGUACAGGUGGAUUUGAGAGAACCUAUCCUCCUGCCUUCUUAUGGCCAAUUUGAACAACCCUUUCUCCAUCUCCAAGCACUGAUGUCUCAGCCGUGUGAGCUUAUUGCACAUCAGGUGACUACAUGCUGUAUUCACUUUGUGUAAAUGUAUCAAGCUAGAUACCUAUGAUUACAAGUUUUUCAGUAUGUAUGGUAUUCUUCAAUAAAAAGGAAUGAAAGAAAAAAAGAUAGGGCUAGUCCAUGGACCUCUGUAAGCCUGGGAGGCAUCAACCCUGGGGAAUUAUAAAAAGUCAUUACCGUUUUGAUAAUUGAUUCCUCUUGUUCUGAGAAUUAGCUCUUGGCAUAUUUGUGGGUUCUAUGAAGACCAAACGACUGGCCGCAAAGAUCUCAGGUAACCGUGCAUUAUCUGAUGCACCAAGUGACGAAGUGGGCAGACCCGGCAACACCUCAUCAUCACGUGGAAAUAGUAUGUUGGGGACUGAACUCCAGCGGGUCCUCAAGGCUCAAGUAGUUGUGUGAAUAAGGUCUCACAUGUCCAGUGUCCCACUUUCCAGCCACUGCAGGCAGAUCGAUUACCGUGGAUCCUUUCCAAUGGGAAGGUGGCCAAUUUGCUUUCACUGGAAUAAUCAUUUGCUGGGGAAUUAGGGUUAUUUCGCGCCGCCCCCCCCUCCGCCCCCGCUUUGGCCUAUUUCUGCCAGCGUUACCAUCCAUGGACUUUACUUUUGUUUUCAUAGUGUAAUUUUUAAAAAUUUAAACACGACCCUCAUACAAAACACUGUGAGCGUGUGUCAAAGAUGUUAUUUAGCUCAAUGAUGGAACCAGAGGAAAAAUAAAGAUGGUUCAAGGAGGACCUGAGAAACUCACACGUGUAGACAGUGGAAAAACGAAUGCUGGAAUUGGGUUGGAAAAUUUGAUACAAAACUGGUCAACGUCUUUCAGGGUUGUGUUUUCCUUUUUAAAAAAAAUUUUUUAAUUGUUUAUUUUUUUUUUCAGGAAGAUUAACCCUGAGUUAAUAUCUGCCGCCAAUCCUCCUCUUUUUGCUGAGGAAGACUGGCCCU